rnacentral:rRNA from 1 species
GAACGGGUGAGUAACACGUGGGCAAUCUGCCCUGCACUCUGGGACAAGCCCUGGAAACGGGGUCUAAUACCGGAUACUGAUCCUCGCAGGCAUCUGCGAGGUUCGAAAGCUCCGGCGGUGCAGGAUGAGCCCGCGGCCUAUCAGCUAGUUGGUGAGGUAACGGCUCACCAAGGCGACGACGGGUAGCCGGCCUGAGAGGGCGACCGGCCACACUGGGACUGAGACACGGCCCAGACUCCUACGGGAGGCAGCAGUGGGGAAUAUUGCACAAUGGGCGAAAGCCUGAUGCAGCGACGCCGCGUGAGGGAUGACGGCCUUCGGGUUGUAAACCUCUUUCAGCAGGGAAGAAGCGAAAGUGACGGUACCUGCAGAAGAAGCGCCGGCUAACUACGUGCCAGCAGCCGCGGUAAUACGUAGGGCGCAAGCGUUGUCCGGAAUUAUUGGGCGUAAAGAGCUCGUAGGCGGCUUGUCACGUCGGUUGUGAAAGCCCGGGGCUUAACCCCGGGUCUGCAGUCGAUACGGGCAGGCUAGAGUUCGGUAGGGGAGAUCGGAAUUCCUGGUGUAGCGGUGAAAUGCGCAGAUAUCAGGAGGAACACCGGUGGCGAAGGCGGAUCUCUGGGCCGAUACUGACGCUGAGGAGCGAAAGCGUGGGGAGCGAACAGGAUUAGAUACCCUGGUAGUCCACGCCGUAAACGGUGGGCACUAGGUGUGGGCAACAUUCCACGUUGUCCGUGCCGCAGCUAACGCAUU